UCGCAGUGAUGAAUGAUUCCAAAGCCAUUCGUAGUUUCCACCGGAUGUCGAAAGGCAUAUGACGGCUUUAUACCUUCCUUGGAUGUCUGAGCGA
rnacentral:snoRNA from 1 species